GGACUCACUAUGUGGCCCUGGCCGGCCUGGACUCACAGAGAUCUUCCUGCUUCUGCUGCCAAGUGUUGGGAUUAAAGUUCUGUGCUACAAUGACUGGGAGGUCUGAAGAGAGCAUUGGAUCUCCUGGAACUGAACUUAUAGAUGACUCUGGGUCUUCUGGUAAACAACCCUGCUGUCCUAGAAGAGCUCUGUAGACAUGGAUGGCAUUGAAUCAGAGAUUGGCCAGCCUCUUCCAGAGUGCAGAGAUUAAAGGCAUGUACUAUCAA